rnacentral:rRNA from 1 species
UACAGAGGGUGCAAGCGUUGUUCGGAAUUACUGGGCGUAAAGCGCGUGUAGGUGGCGAUGUAAGUCGGGUGUGAAAUCCCUUGGCUCAACCAAGGAAGUGCAUUCGAUACUGUGUCGCUUGAGUACUGGAGGGGAUGGCGGAAUUCCCGGUGUAGAGGUGAAAUUCGUAGAUAUCGUAAGGAAGACCAGUGGCGAAGGCGGGUCUCUGGGCCAUAACUGACGCUGAGAAGCGAAAGCAUGGGGAGCGAACAGG